AGGCGUGCGGGAAGGGUGCUUAUCUCACCCGCUCCGUGCUGGAGCGGCCUGUACGGCGGGGGGAACCGCGGCCCGCUUCAUCUGCCGGUGAUGGGGGCCGCAUCUCCUAUUUGUGUGCUCUGCGCAUGGGGAAGAAGCCUCGAGGUGAGAAUGUGAAAGGCAACUCAAGACUCUUCAUGUAGCUAAAAAGUGUGCCUCUGCUUGUGUGACCUCUGCAUCUAACUGGAGGAUAAAUUCCUACCUCUGCUGGGUUCUCACAUAAUCCUGAUCCUUGACACUGGGCUGCAAAGGAGUGGUCUCUUCCUGCCACCCUGCUUCAGGCAGCCUGCCCUGUGCAGGAGCUGCCACCCAUGAUGCUGCCUUGCAGAGAAGAACCAGGGGAACAUGUUUCAUUCUGAGAUAUUCCCAGUUUGCUGACUACACAGCCCUGCUCAACAGCAGGAGAAC